rnacentral:rRNA from 1 species
UACAGGGGGGGCAAGCGUUGUUCGGAAUUACUGGGCGUAAAGGGCGCGUAGGCGGCCUGCUAAGUCGGACGUGAAAUCCCUCGGCUCAACCGGGGAACUGCGUCCGAUACUGGUGGGCUCGAAUCCGGGAGAGGGAUGUGGAAUUCCAGGUGUAGCGGUGAAAUGCGUAGAUAUCUGGAGGAACACCGGUGGCGAAGGCGGCAUCCUGGACCGGCAUUGACGCUGAGGCGCGAAAGCCAGGGGAGCAAACGGG